CACGUAGGGGGCGAGCGUUGUCCGGAUUUAUUGGGCGUAAAGAGCUCGUAGGCGGCUCAGUAAGUCAGGUGUGAAAACUCCAGGCUCAACCUGGAGACGCCACUUGAUACUGCUGUGGCUAGAGUCCGGUAGGGGAGCAUGGAAUUCCUGGUGUAGCGGUGAAAUGCGCAGAUAUCAGGAGGAACACCAAUGGCGAAGGCAGCUCGCUGGGACGGUAUUGACGCUGAGACGCGAAAGCGUGGGGAGCAAACAGG
rnacentral:rRNA from 1 species